AAGUCGUAACAAGGUUUCCGUAGGUGAACCUGCGGAAGGAUCAUUAUCAGGUGGAGCAGGCCUCGCGCUUGCACCUCCCUCCCUGUGCACAUCGUCAACCGUUGCUCGAGCCGGCGGCCUCCGGGCCCCGGCGAGAGAUCACAACCACUCUUUUCCAGAUCGUCUGAGUAAACAUACAAUAGAAUAAAACUUUCAACAACGGAUCUCUUGGUUCCGGCAUCGAUGAAGAACGCAGCGAAAUGCGAUAACUAGUGUGAAUUGCAGAUUUACGUGAAUCAUCGAGUCUUUGAACGCACAUUGCGCUCCUUGGUCUUCCAGGGAGCAUGUCUAUCCGAGCGUCGUUGCAACUCUCAAGCCUGGCUUGGUCCUGGAGUGCGUCCCGUCCGCGGGGCCCCUCCCAAACGCAACUCACGUCGUGCCAUCUCGGUCGGAGCGCAGCAGAUUUGCAGCCCCGUCCGGCGUCGUCGCGAGCCGCCCCCGUGCGGAUUCUCAAGGUUGACCUCGGAUUAGAUAAGGAUACCCGCUGAACUUAAGCAUAUCAAUAAGCGGAGGAAAAGAAACCAACAGGGAUUGCCUCAGUAACGGCGAGUGAAGCAGCAACAGCUCAAAUUUGAAAUCUGGCGCCCCUGGGCGUCCGAGUUGUAAUUUGCAGAGGAUGCUUCGGUACCGGCGCUGCUCCAGGUUCUUUGGAACAGGACGCCACAGAGGGUGAGAGCCCCGUCUCUGGGCGGCAGUCGGUACCAUGUGAAGCGCCUUCGACGAGUCGAGUUGUUUGGGAAUGCAGCUCAAAAUGGGAGGUAAAUUUCUUCCAAGGCUAAAUACAGGCCGGAGACCGAUAGCGCACAAGUAGAGUGAUCGAAAGAUGAAAAGUACUUUGGAAAGAGAGUCAAACAGCGCGUGAAAUUGUUGAAAGGGAAGCGCUUGCAGUCAGACUUGGCCGCCCGGUUCGGCGGGGUCUCGCACCCCGUCUACGCCGUGGCGAUCAGGCCAGCAUCGGUUCGGACGACCGGAUAAAGGCCGCGGGAACGUAGCUCCCCUCGGGGAGUGUUAUAGCCCACGGCACAAUACGGCCCGUCCGGACCGAGGAACGCGCUUCGGCUCGGAUGCUGGCGUAAUGGCUGCAAGCGGCC
rnacentral:rRNA from 1 species